rnacentral:rRNA from 1 species
ACCAGACUCCUACGGGAGGCAGCAGUGGGGAAUAUUGCGCAAUGGGCGAAAGCCUGACGCAGCGACGCCGCGUGAGGGAUGAAGGUCUUCGGAUCGUAAACCUCUGUCAGGAGGGAAGAAGUGGUUAUAUGCGAAUAGUGUAUGACUUUGACGGUACCUCCAAAGGAAGCACCGGCUAACUCCGUGCCAGCAGCCGCGGUAAUACGGGGGGUGCAAGCGUUGUCCGGAAUCAUUGGGCGUAAAGCGUUCGUAGGCGGUAUGUCAAGUCUGAUGUUAAAGCCCGGGGCUCAACUCCGGUUCGGCAUUGGAUACUGGCAAACUAGAAUGUGGUAGAGGUAAAGGGAAUUCCUGGUGUAGCGGUGAAAUGCGUAGAUAUCAGGAGGAACAUCGGUGGCGAAAGCGCUUUACUGGACCAUUAUUGACGCUGAGGAACGAAAGCCAGGGGAGCAAAUGGGAUUAGAUACCCGCGUAA